rnacentral:misc_RNA from 1 species
GAUGAAGAACGUAGCGAAAUGCGAUAAGUAGUGUGAAUUGCAGAAUUCAGUGAAUCAUCGAAUCUUUGAACGCACAUUGCGCCCCUUGGUAUUCCGAGGGGCAUGCCUGUUCGAGCGUCAUUACACCACUCAAGCUAUGCUUGGUAUUGGGCGUCGUCCUUAGUUGGGCGCGCCUUAAAGACCUCGGCGAGGCCACUCCGGCUUUAGGCGUAGUAGAAUUUAUUCGAACGUCUGUCAAAGGAGAGGAACUCUGCCGACUGAAACCUUUAUUUUUCUAGGUUGACCUCGGAUCAGGUAGGGAUACCCGCUGAACUUAAGCAUAUCAAUAAGCGGAGGA